UAAAUAUUAAUUAUUGGCAUGAACAAACACUAUCAAAAUAUUAUAUAGAGCUACUAGCAUGGCUAAGAGGCUACACUAGAUCAGUGAGGAGGUGCUGCAUGAAAUUGUAGGCUACCCACUAGCUCUGGGACCUGCACAGAUUGACAUAGAAGACCCAGUAGCCAGAGUACAGCAAGGUAACAGAGAUGUGCCAGUCAUGGAGGGCAGUGAUGAUGAGUUUUCUGAUUGAGAACAGUUUGGAGAGGAGCUUGAAGAUCUGGAUAGGACAUUGACACUGCAUGAGCUGAGCACUGUUGUGAAAGUCCUACCACCAACGUCAACCUUCCUGUACAUGGCAUUGUCUGUGCGCGUGUAUGUGUAGGCGACUCCAAGGUACUCCAAAAGGGAUCCAGUGGCAGUGCAUAGUGUGACAGCAAAGUAUCAGCAGUAGCCACAGACAUCAGACACUUUUUAUAUCUAUUGUUAGUUACACAAAGAAUUAUAAUCGUUACUGAUGGUAA